rnacentral:rRNA from 1 species
UACGGGGGGGGCAAGCGUUGUUCGGAAUUACUGGGCGUAAAGGGCUCGUAGGUGGCCAACUAAGUCAACCGUGAAAUCCCUCGGCUUAACCGGGGAACUGCGUUUGAUACUGGAUGGCUUGAGUUUGGGAGAGGGAUGCGGAAUUCCAGGUGUAGCGGUGAAAUGCGUAGAUAUCUGGAGGAACACCGGUGGCGAAGGCGGCAUCCUGGACCGAUAUUGACGCUGAGGAGCGAAAGCCAGGGGAGCAAACGGG